rnacentral:rRNA from 1 species
AAUCCAUAGGUUAAUGAGGCGAACCGGGGGAACUGAAACAUCUAAGUACCCCGAGGAAAAGAAAUCAACCGAGAUUCCCCCAGUAGCGGCGAGCGAACGGGGAGGAGCCCAGAGCCUGAAUCAGCAUGUGUGUUAGUGGAAGCGUCUGGAAAGGCGCGCGAUACAGGGUGACAGCCCCGUACACAAAAGCGCAUGUGCUGUGAGCUCGAUGAGUAGGGCGGGACACGUGGUAUCCUGUCUGAAUAUGGGGGGACCAUCCUCCAAGGCUAAAUACUCCUGACUGACCGAUAGUGAACCAGUACCGUGAGGGAAAGGCGAAAAGAACCCCGGCGAGGGGAGUGAAAAAGAACCUGAAACCGUGUACGUACAAGCAGUGGGAGCACAGGUUUACCUGUGUGACUGCGUACCUUUUGUAUAAUGGGUCAGCGACUUAUAUUCUGUAGCAAGGUUAACCGAAUAGGGGAGCCGGAGGGAAACCGAGUCUUAAUUGGGCGUUAAGUUGCAGGGUAUAGACCCGAAACCCGGUGAUCUAGCCAUGGGCAGGUUGAAGGUUGGGUAACACUAACUGGAGGACCGAACCGACUAAUGUUGAAAAAUUAGCGGAUGACCUGUGGCUGGGGGUGAAAGGCCAAUCAAACCGGGAGAUAGCUGGUUCUCCCCGAAAGCUAUUUAGGUAGCGCCUCGUGAAUUCAUCUCCGGGGGUAGAGCACUGUUUCGGCUAGGGGGCCAUCCCGGCUUACCAACCCGAUGCAAACUGCGAAUACCGGAGAAUGUUAUCACGGGAGACACACGGCGGGUGCUAACGUCCGUCGUGAAGAGGGAAACAACCCAGACCGCCAGCUAAGGUCCCAAAGUCAUGGUUAAGUGGGAAACGAUGUGGGAAGGCCCAGACAGCCAGGAUGUUGGCUUAGAAGCAGCCAUCAUUUAAAGAAAGCGUAAUAGCUCACUGGUCGAGUCGGCCUGCGCGGAAGAUGUAACGGGGCUAAACCAUGCACCGAAGCUGCGGCAGCGACACUGUGUGUUGUUGGGUAGGGGAGCGUUCUGUAAGCCUGUGAAGGUGGCCUGUGAGGGUUGCUGGAGGUAUCAGAAGUGCGAAUGCUGACAUAAGUAACGAUAAAGCGGGUGAAAAGCCCGCUCGCCGGAAGACCAAGGGUUCCUGUCCAACGUUAAUCGGGGCAGGGUGAGUCGACCCCUAAGGCGAGGCCGAAAGGCGUAGUCGAUGGGAAACGGGUUAAUAUUCCCGUACUUGGUGUUACUGCGAAGGGGGGACGGAGAAG